rnacentral:rRNA from 1 species
AUGGCCGCCACCGUGGCCGCGCGGUGGUGGGAGGACGCGGCGAUCUCGGUGGGGAUGGUUGCCGUGCAGCUUGCCGGCGCAGCAUACAUGGUGGUGCUGACGCCGAUCCUGGCGCUGGGCCUGGACCCGCUCUUCCUGGUGACGUUCGGCAGCCUCUCCACGGGGAUCCUCGCCCUCCCUUUCGCCCUCAACCUCGACAGGAACAAAUGGCCGUCGGAGCUGAGUAAUAGGUUGAUCCUUGAGUUGGUGGUGCUGUCUCUGGGAGGGGUGACUGUGUUCCAAGCCCUCAUGCUGGAUGGCAUGAAGAAGACAUCCCCCGCCAUCGCCUCCGCGAUGCUGAACCUGGCCCCGGGAUUCAUCUUCGUUGUCGCGGGCUGCCUCCGGUUUGAGAGGGUUGAUCUCAAGUGCCGGUACACAAGAGCCAAGAUAGUGGGGACCCUUCUAUGCCUGGGGGGAGCCAUCACCAUGAGCAUCCUGCAGAGCCCUGCCACUCCACAGGGCCGAAGAUCGCCAGACCUAGCAGCCUGGGUUGUCGGGUGCCUGUGCCUCCUGGGUGCGGUGCUCGUGCUGUCGGGCACAAUAAUCCUGCAGGCAGCAACCCUGAUCCGUUUCCCGGCCCCUUUUACCCUCUGCGCCAUGACCUCACUCAUCGGCGCCUUGCUGACAGGGAUGUUCCAGGUGUUUACCACAGGGAGGCUCGGCCCUGGGACGCUCCAGAUCAGCACCGGAAUAAUCCUCUCCCUUGUGUUUGUGGGUAGUCUGGUGAGCUCCGUGUCUAUCAUGUACCAGACGUGGGUGCUGGAGAAGAAGGGGCCUGUGCUCGUCUCACUGUUUAGCCCCACGCAGACCAUGGGUUCCGCAAUCUUCUCCGCCCUCUUCUUGGGACGGGUGGUGCAACCAGCAAGCAUACUAGGGAUGCUAUUUCUUUUCUCCGGCCUUUAUGCAGUUCUGUGGGCAAAGAAGAAAGAAGGCCAUGUUCUUCCUCCUGCAGACAGGGUCGUGGCAGACGAUAUAGAGAAACCACUCUUGCUUCCACGCUAG